rnacentral:lncRNA from 1 species
AACGAAUACAGCAGGGAUGACUUCCACCAGCUCCACUUUGCAGCUCUGAGGUGUAUUAAAAAUUUGUUUUUCAGAAACCUAGAGCCCCACCAAAUGAAUCCGCUGGCACGUGGACCUCAGAUGGGGGAAACUGAGGACUGAAUUCUGACCACCCUCCUUUGUUCUAAAUUUCUUCCUGAAGGACCUGGAAGAAGUCAUGCCACGGGCCAGACCUUAACAUUCCUUUCGGCUUACCCCAGGAUUUCAGACAAAGCUUCACUUUCCUAACCAGUCACAAAUCAGAGAAUUUUUGAUUCCACCUAUGACCUGUGAGCUCCUGCUUCAAGAUAUUCCACCUUUUUUAGGCCAAACCAAUGUAUAACCUCCAAGUGUCGAUUUACACUUUCGACUGUAACUUCUGCUUUCCUGAGAUUUACCCCUGCCUUUAAAAACCCUUGCUUGUAAUCCCUCAGGGAGGCCGUGUAUUUAUUAAUCAUGAGCUGCCCAAUUCUCCUUGCUUGGUGCCCUGCAAAUAAACACCCUCUUUUCUC